rnacentral:rRNA from 1 species
CCCAGACUCCUACGGGAGGCAGCAGUGGGGGAUAUUGCACAAUGGGGGGAACCCUGAUGCAGCGACGCCGCGUGGGUGAAGGAGCGUUUCGGCGCGUAAAGCCCUCUCGGCAGGGAAGAAGGAGGACGGUACCUGACUAAGAAGCCCCGGCUAACUACGUGCCAGCAGCCGCGGUAAUACGUAGGGGGCAAGCGUUAUCCGGAGUUACUGGGUGUAAAGGGGGCGCAGACGGCAGCGCAAGCCAGGAGUGAAAGCCCGGGGCCCAACCCCGGGACUGCUCUUGGAACUGCGCGGCUGGAGUGCAGGAGGGGCAGGCGGAAUCCCUGGUGUAGCGGUGAAAUGCGUAGAUAUCAGGAGGAACACCGGUGGCGAAGGCGGCCUGCUGGACUGCGACUGACGUUGAGGCCCGAAAGCGUGGGGAGCAAACAGGAUUAGAUACCCCCGUAAAC